UGCAUGGAUUGUAGGGUUCUGAUACAAUUGCGACGCACGAGUUUCUCUGUACAAUAUUUCUUUCGAGAAGAGACUGGGCUGCAGACGCAUGAUUCAAGUUUAUUUGGAUGAAAGGUUCCUCCACCCUGAUGCGAUUACCCUGGAUUUUGUUCGAUAAUGGAAUGGUGGAACGGAUUCUGAUGAGGAGCACGUACUGGAUGGGUGCCCUUGGUGACCGCAUUUAUAACACCAGUCUAUCAUAUCAAUUUCUGACGUGCAGUUAUUUCGGACGUGUCCGAAGUCCCAGCACUUAAAGCAUUGGAUGGGUCUGUUCUCGAGGGGUAAGAACUUAGCAGUGGACCAGCCAAUUAAGGCAGAUUGUUUCGAUAUUAGUUUAAAGGCUGCAGUUUCAUUGCACUUGCACCAGACUGUGGCCGUUCCCCUUGUAUUGGGUCGAACUGGGCCAAGUAUGAAGCUUUCAUUAUCUCCACAUAUGGACACGAAAUAUUAACGUCGCCUGAGGGGAAGAGAGAACUGAUUUUGUUCAUUAGCGUGGGACCCAGCUCGUCAUUGCCCUUCUUAGGGAUUUCAAGGAGUAGGCCACCAUUCAUCGCAGAGCGAGGUUUAAUUGAGUCUAUUCCUAAUUCUUGCAAGUUAAUGUUCUCUUUGGCCUUUGUUAGGAUUUCGC